GUCCAUGGACAUACCACCCUGAACGUGCCUGAUCUCGUCAGGUCUCGGAAGCAAAGCAGGGUCGGGCCUGGUUAGUACUUGGAUGGGAGACUGCUUGGGAAUACUGGGUGCUGUAGGCU
ensembl:rRNA 5S_rRNA 5S ribosomal RNA